rnacentral:tRNA from 1 species
AGCGGGGUGGAGGAACGGUACCUCGUGAGGCCCAUAACCUCAAGGAGCGGGUUCAAUUCCCGCCCCCGCAA